rnacentral:lncRNA from 1 species
GCGAAGCUGCUGCACCGAAAAACUUUGUCGCUGGUAAGGUUUUGUUUUUCGAUUUUUUCCGGCCAACCGAUGCCCCUUAACGUGUUUUCUCGCAGGGAUAAGUACAAAACCGGUUGAAAUCGGUUAAAACUAGCCAAAAACGGCCAACUUGAGGCAAACUGUCGUCAUAAACGACGGUGCCGUCAUCGAAGCACAGCAACGCCGCUGUGCCGGAAUCCCAAAAUUGGCUGAAAAGAGUUUCUAACAUCGAUUU